rnacentral:piRNA from 1 species
UAUUAAAAUAUAUAUUAUCAUGUUGUGCUC